rnacentral:rRNA from 1 species
AGUCGAGCGAGCAAGUUAAAGGAAUACUUCGGUAGGAAUUUAAUAGCGCGAGCGGCGGAUGGGUGAGUAACACGUGGGCAACCUGCCCUUCAGCUUGGGAUACCACUUGGAAACAGGUGCUAAUACCAAAUAAGAAGUAAGAGCGCAUGCUCAAGCUAUGAAAGGCGGCUUUCGAGCUGUCACUAAAGGAUGGGCCCGCGGUGCAUUAGCUAGUUGGUAAGGCAACGGCUUACCAAGGCAAUGAUGCAUAGCCGAGUUGAGAGACUGAUCGGCCACAUUGGGACUGAGACACGGCCCAAACUCCUACGGGAGGCAGCAGUAGGGAAUCUUCCACAAUGGACGCAAGUCUGAUGGAGCAACGCCGCGUGAGUGAAGAAGGUUUUCGGAUCGUAAAGCUCUGUUGUUGGUGAAGAAGGACAUGGAUAGUAACUGAUCUAUGUUUGACGGUAAUCAACCAGAAAGUCACGGCUAACUACGUGCCAGCAGCCGCGGUAAUACGUAGGUGGCAAGCGUUGUCCGGAUUUAUUGGGCGUAAAGCGAACGCAGGCGGGAGAACAAGUCAGCUGUGAAAGCCCUCGGCUUAACCGAGGAACGGCAACUGAAACUGUUUUUCUUGAGUGCAGAAGAGGAGAGUGGAACUCCAUGUGUAGCGGUGAAAUGCGUAGAUAUAUGGAAGAACACCAGUGGCGAAGGCGGCUCUCUGGUCUGUAACUGACGCUGAGGUUCGAAAGCAUGGGUAGCGAACAGGAUUAGAUACCCUGGUAGUCCAUGCCGUAAACGAUGAGUGCUAAGUGUUGGGAGGUUUCCGCCUCUCAGUGCUGCAGCUAACGCAUUAAGCACUCCGCCUGGGGAGUACGACCGCAAGGUUAAAACUCAAAGGAAUUGAC